rnacentral:rRNA from 1 species
UAGGGAAUCUUCGGCAAUGGGGGCAACCCUGACCGAGCAACGCCGCGUGAGUGAAGAAGGUUUUCGGAUCGUAAAGCUCUGUUGUAAGAGAAGAACGUGUGUGAGAGUGGAAAGUUCACACAGUGACGGUAACUUACCAGAAAGGGACGGCUAACUACGUGCCAGCAGCCGCGGUAAUACGUAGGUCCCGAGCGUUGUCCGGAUUUAUUGGGCGUAAAGCGAGCGCAGGCGGUUUAAUAAGUCUGACGUUAAAGGCAGUGGCUUAACCAUUGUUCGCUUUGGAAACUGUUAAACUUGAGUGCAGAAGGGGAGAGUGGAAUUCCAUGUGUAGCGGUGAAAUGCGUAGAUAUAUGGAGGAACACCGGUGGCGAAAGCGGCUCUCUGGUCUGUAACUGACGCUGAGGCUCGAAAGCGUGGGGAGCAAACAGG